rnacentral:rRNA from 1 species
UACGUAGGGUCCGAGCGUUAAUCGGAAUUACUGGGCGCAAAGCGUGCGCAGGCGGUUUUGUAAGCCAGAUGUGAAAUCCCCGGGCUUAACCUGGGAAUGGCAUUUGGGACUGCAAGGCUUGAGUGCGGCAGAGGGGGGUGGAAUUCCACGUGUAGCAGUGAAAUGCGUAGAGAUGUGGAGGAACACCGAUGGCGAAGGCAGCCCCCUGGGUCGACACUGACGCUCAUGCACGAAAGCGUGGGGAGCAAACAGG